CUGAACUGUUAACACGAGUUGUUGCUGGCCUUCRAAUGGGGGCAUGUGCACGCUCUGUUUACAAAUCCACUCACACCUGUGCACCCUCAGUAGUUCUAUGGUGUGGAGGAUACYGUCCUCCAGUCGUGGUUCUACGUCUUUACACACACACUGUGAUAAAGUCUAAUGGGAUGUAUGUAGCGUUUAACGCAAUAUAAUACAACUUUCAGCAACGGAUCUCUUGGCUCUCGCAUCGAUGAAGAACGCAGCGAAAUGCGAUAAGUAAUGUGAAUUGCAGAAUUCAGUGAAUCAUCGAAUCUUUGAACGCACCUUGCGCCCUUUGGCUAUUCCGAAGGGCAUGCCUGUUUGAGUAUCAUGAACACCUCAACCCUCAUGGCUUGCCAUGGUGGGCUUGGACUUUGGGGGUCUUGCUGGAUUGUAGUCAGCUCCCCUUAAAUAAAUCAGCUUGCCAGUGUUUGGUGGCAUCACAGGUGUGAUAAUUAUCUACGCUUGUGGUUUUACAUCAGAUAACCUUCAGAGAUGGGGGUUCGCUGGAGCUUAUAAAUGUCUCUCCACUGUGGGGACAGCUCUAUGAAUGU
rnacentral:rRNA from 1 species